AGUGAACGCUGGCGGUAGGCCUAACACAUGCAAGUCGAACGGCAGCACAGUAAGAGCUUGCUCUUACGGGUGGCGAGUGGCGGACGGGUGAGGAAUACAUCGGAAUCUACUUUUUCGUGGGGGAUAACGUAGGGAAACUUACGCUAAUACCGCAUACGACCUACGGGUGAAAGCAGGGGAUCUUCGGACCUUGCGCGAUUGAAUGAGCCGAUGUCGGAUUAGCCAGUUGGCGGGGUAAAGGCCCACCAAGGCGACGAUCCGUAGCUGGUCUGAGAGGAUGAUCAGCCACACUGGAACUGAGACACGGUCCAGACUCCUACGGGAGGCAGCAGUGGGGAAUAUUGGACAAUGGGCGCAAGCCUGAUCCAGCCAUGCCGCGUGGGUGAAGAAGGCCUUCGGGUUGUAAAGCCCUUUUGUUGGGAAAGAAAAGCAGCAGGUUAAUACCCCGCUGUUCUGACGGUACCCAAAGAAUAAGCACCGGCUAACUUCGUG
rnacentral:rRNA from 1 species